UACGGAGUGUGCAAGCGUUACUCGGAAUCACUGGGCAUAAAGGGCGUGUAGGCGGGCUUUCAAGUCGGUUGUGAAAUCCCUCAGCUCAACUGAGGAACUGCAUCCGAUACUGUUUGUCUUGAGGACGAGAGGGGAGAGUGGAACUUCUGGUGGAGCGGUGAAAUGCGUAGAUAUCGAGAGGAACACCUGCGGCGAAGGCGGGUAGCUGGGCCGACACUGACGCUGAGGCGCGAAAGCUAGGGGAGCGAACGGG
rnacentral:rRNA from 1 species